rnacentral:tRNA from 1 species
GCGUCCGUAGCUCAGUUGGUUAGAGCACCACCUUGACAUGGUGGGGGUCGGUGGUUCGAGUCCACCCGGACGCACCA